CGCUUCGGUGGCCUAAUGGUUAUAACGUCCGACUUGGAUGCGAAAUGUCGUUGGUUCGAUCCCCGGCUGAGUGA